AAAACAAUUAUGAAUGAGACACGCGAUAUCGACUGAUUGACGAUGAUAAAUACUGUAACUAAAUUCUUAUCAAAAUCUCCAAAGUAAAGAAGAUCUCAAUUACAGGUUUCAUCAUGCAGAAAAUAAGCUAUUCCUCAGCUUGGAAUCUAUCAGCUCAGAUGGACUUGUCAAAUCAUAUAUCCAGUCCAGAUUACCCAUAGUUGAGGAUCAUCUAUAUUACAAUAGUCAGAGAGAGAGAGAGAUGAGCACAAUAAAACAGAUUUAAAAUACUCCUGCCGAUAAAGAGAGCUGGGCAAAACCAAAUCGUUUGAUUCACAGAUAAGAAACUAUCGAUUGAUUGAUGGCUACUAACGAACGAUGAUUUUACUACGUUUGUUAUACUUUUAAUAAGAUCGCCUCUGUAUAAUUGGCCCUGCUCUCUGGAUAUACGAAAACUUACAUACCUGGAACAUAUGACGCCGAACAAGUCUUGAGGAAUGUUGCUCACUUUAUAAGGUCGUGAUCUAUUAAUGUUCUCUGUAUCUCCUAUAUGCGAAACGCGACGAACUAUCAAGAUGAUUGACGCUGAUGACGCUUUUGCAGUUCGUGUUUCGUGAAUUUAAAAAGAAAGCAGCAUACACCAUGAAAACAAUUAAUGUCGGCGGGUUAUACCAAAUGCGUCUCUUCACAUUCUAUAAAAUAUGGACACUUCGGAUCUUUAUUAACUUUUAUGUGAUAUCUAGUUUGUUAUUUAUUUAAAAACAUGAAUAAAAGGUCUAUCGCGUG